CGUAACAAGGUUUCCGUAGGUGAACCUGCGGAAGGAUCAUUACAGAGCGAGAGGCUCAGCCAUGACGGUAGUCGUGUGCUGGGUCGACCCUCCCACCCGUGUCGAUAUGUAUUUUGUUGCUUUGGCGGGCCGGGUUUGCGCCCCGUUCGGCGUCCGCUGUGGCGCUGGGGGAGCCGCCCACCGGCUUCGGCUGGAGCGUGCCCGCCAGAGACCUCAUCCAAACUCACGUUGUCAUGUAGUCUAAGCUUUAUUAAGUAAUUGAUAAAACUUUCAACAACGGAUCUCUUGGCUCUGGCAUCGAUGAAGAACGCAGCGAAAUGCGAUAAGUAAUGUGAAUUGCAGAAUUUAGUGAAUCAUCGAAUCUUUGAACGCACAUUGCGCCCCUUGGCAUUCCGAGGGGCAUGCCUGUUCGAGCGUCAUAACACCCCCCUCAAGCUGCCCUUGUGGUGGCUUCGGUGUUGGGGCUCGUCGCAGUUUUGCGGUGGCCCUUAAAGACAGUGGCGGUCCCCGCGUGGGCUCUACGCGUAGUAACUUGUUCCUCGCGACAGAGUGACGCUCGUGAUCAUCCAGAACCACCCACCUUUGUCCGGUCAUCCGGAUUGACAGGUUGACCUCGAAUCAGGUAGGAAUACCCGCUGAGUUUAAGCAUAUCAAUAA
rnacentral:rRNA from 1 species